GACGAACGCUGGCGGCGUGCCUAAUACAUGCAAGUCGAGCGAAUCAUUAGGAGCUUGCUCCUGAUGGUUAGCGGCGGACGGGUGAGUAACACGUGGGCAACCUGCCUAUAAGACUGGGAUAACUUCGGGAAACCGGAGCUAAUACCGGAUAAUCCUUUUCCUCUCAUGAGGAAAAGCUGAAAGACGGUUUCGGCUGUCACUUAUAGAUGGGCCCGCGGCGCAUUAGCUAGUUGGUGAGGUAAUGGCUCACCAAGGCGACGAUGCGUAGCCGACCUGAGAGGGUGAUCGGCCACACUGGGACUGAGACACGGCCCAGACUCCUACGGGAGGCAGCAGUAGGGAAUCUUCCGCAAUGGACGAAAGUCUGACGGAGCAACGCCGCGUGAACGAUGAAGGCCUUCGGGUCGUAAAGUUCUGUUGUUAGGGAAGAACAAGUAUCGGAGUAACUGCCGGUACCUUGACGGUACCUAACCAGAAAGCCACGGCUAACUACGUGCCAGCCGCCGCAGUAAAAC
rnacentral:rRNA from 1 species